AGUGCCGGUGUCCGACCAAGAGGUAAGAAAAAUAAACAAAGCUCCCGGGCCAAACUGAGAAAUAAGAGUUUUCCACGUCCAGUUAUUUCCCAGAUUAGUCUAUAAUACUUCUCGUGUGUAGUUAAUCACAACAUGGUGUCAAAGUGAAAGUAAUAAGGCGACGGACCCGCGAGAAAAAGAAAACUAGGCGGGGAAAAGUCAAUAAUAAAGGUUUAAGCAGUAAAUAUAUAUAUGGUGUAUAUGUUUAUGUAUACAUAACACAUAAAUACAUACUGUACGAAAGCCUAUUGUGUGCAAUCAACUAGUUCUGUAAUGUUCCUGUGCUUUUAAUUUGGUAAUUAAUAUGUGACGUCACUUCCCCCUUCAAGUACUGUCUUUGCCGGUUUCCGAUCAAUGGCUGCUUGUGUGACGUCUAAAUAUGCAGCUGCUCGGCCAUGGAAACCCAUUCCAUGAAGUUCUCUGCGUACUGCACGUGGGCUAAUUGGAAGGCCACAUGACGUUUGGAGCUCUGUAGCAACGGACUUCAGCAUACCGCUACCACUUGGUGGCUGAGUUGCUGUUGUUCCCAAACUCUUCACUUUUCUUAUAAUAAAGCCGACAGUUGACUUUGGAAUAUUUAGGAGCGAGGACAUUUCACAACUGGAUUUGUUGCACAGGUGGCAUCCUGUGACAGUUCCACUGAGAGCGGCCCAUUCUUUUACAAAUGUUUCUAGAAACAGUCUCCAUGCCUAAGUGCUUGAUUUGAUACACCGGGCCAAUUGAUUAGGAAACCUGAUUCUCAUCAUUUGGAUGGGUGGCCAAAUACUUUUGGCAAUAUAGUAUAUAUAUCUAUAUACAUAUACAUUGGAAAUAAAUGAACAGUAGUCAACAGUCCAUAUAAGAACAUAGAUUUUAUUUUUAAUAGAAUGAAUGAAAAAUGGAAUGUAAGAGUAUUGUACAUUUCAUUGUAAAACAAUGACAAAUAAAAAAAGGAUGUUUUCUACUGUCUCAGUCUGCUGAUUUAAUGAUUUAUUUCAAAUGAUUCAAACAGCUGGCACUAGGGGUGGAACGGUACACAAAAUUUCCGGUUCGGUACGUACCUCGGUUUAGAGGUCACGGUUCGGUUCAUUUUGGGUACAGUAAGAAAACAACAAAAUAUACAUUUUUUGGUUAUUUAUUUACCAAAUUUGGCAUAAUAAUUGCAUAACAUACAUUUUCACGCAGGGUCCAUUGCCAGGUUUAAUGUGGUCAACAAAUAUAAAAUAAAAACUAAAUAAAAUAAGGCUAAGAAUGGUUUAACAAAACCUUUCUACAUAUAAAGUGCUUUUUUUAUUGAUUGAUUGAUUAUUUUAUGAGUAGAUAGCACAGUUCAGUACAUAUUCCCUACAAUUGACCACUAAAUGGUAACACCCCAAUACGUUUUUCAACUUGUUUAAGUUGUGGUCCAUGUUAAUCAACGUUAAACUGCCUCAAGCUGUUGCUCGGAUUAAAUAAAAUGACAAAACGUUUCUUCUACGUAUAAAAAGUGCAACAUUAAACAGUUCAAGUAAACUCAGCCUCAGAUUAACUGGCUAACUUGGCACUAAGAGGAUAUAUGGACUCAAUGUUCUUCCACCAUAGAAGUGGGUCAAAAUCUAAUUUUUAAUGCAAAAUGGACUUAAAUCUGCUGCUAUAAAAACAUUUGUUAUUGCUUUAGCCCUGCCUGACUCGCCGAGGAGAGGCUGCUUGAAUGCGGUGGUGACGACGCUUCAAUUGGGUUAGCAUGUGUUAUGAAAGUAGCAUGUGUGUGGCCCUUUAAUAUGUGACAGCAUGUGAGGUGAGAGAGCGGGAGUGAGUAAAGCCACGAUUUGCAACUAAUCGCCGGACUCUUCAUUUACCCUGGAGACCCACUGCCGGGUACAGUGAAGGGUGUUGUCCCCGAGAAUACAUCAGCCCUGGAGGAGUGUGUCCCCUGCGCUCCUCAACUACGGUCUGGGAGCCAGAAGCAGGAUGGGUGCAACACAUGUUUGACGUGUUGUCGGCAAACCUCCGUCCUCCAUUGUUGUAUCGUGCAGCCAAAGUGUUCCCAAAAGGGAGAUCUGAACGAGGCAGGAGGGUCUUCCAGCUCUGGCUUUUACAUGUUGUCCUAGCCCGGUCGCUGCUAGCAUGUGUACUCGUUCGGUACACCUCCGAACAGAACCGAAAACCCCGUACCGAAACGGUUCAAUACAAAUACACGUACCGUUGCACCCCUAGCUGGCACUGCUUCUUACGAAUGAUUGAAAUAAUGUAGCAUAAAUGUGUGG